rnacentral:rRNA from 1 species
AUACGUAGGGGGCAAGCGUUAUCCGGAUUUACUGGGUGUAAAGGGAGCGCAGACGGCUAUGUAAGUCUGAAGUGAAAGCUCGGGGCUCAACCCCGAGUCUGCAUUGGAAACUGGCAGGCUUGAGUCCGGAAGAGGAGACUGGAAUUCCUGGUGUAGCGGUGAAAUGCGCAGAUAUCAGGAAGAACACCGGUGGCGAAGGCGGGUCUCUGGGACGGUACUGACGCUGAGACGCGAAAGCGUGGGGAGCAAACAGGAUUAGAUCCCCGGGUAGUCCACGCCGUAAACGAUGGGCACUAGGUGUGGGAGGUGUCGACUCCUUCCGUGCCGAAGCUAACGCAUUAAGUGCCCCGCCUGGGGAGUACGGCCGCAAGGCUAAAACUCAAAUGAAUUGACGGGG